rnacentral:lncRNA from 1 species
UUAUUUGUAAAUAUUCAUGUAAUAAAUAUAUUUUUAUUUAUCACAUAGAUACAUAUACACCUUAUCUUAUACAAAUCCUCAUCCUUAAAAUAAAAAAAAAAUUAUACGCAAAAUUUCUGAUUUAAUUAUAUAGAAAAUAUCGGGUUGUUACAUUUACUUCGUUUUGAAGGAAGAAUUUGGUUUCCAAAUAAUUCCGAGUUGAAAGAAGAGAUUAUGUGGGAGGCCCAUAGUUCGAGGUACUCGAUACAUCCGGGUAGUACUAAGAUGUAUCAAGACCUUUGUAAGAACUUUUGGUGGCCGAACAUGAAGAGGCAGAUCGCUAAAUUUGAAAUCCGUGCGGCCGCGCGCGACACCGGAAGUUGAAAUUUUUUUUAGUUUUAAAGACGUGUUCUCCCACUUAUCUUAUAUCAGUUGAAGUCCUAUGCCCUUGCUCUCCAUUACAUGCACGUCUCCUCAUCUCUACUCAGUUACAAAUUGAAGCCAAAACGUCUUUUCUCCACUACUGAUUGUCGCUUCAGAUCUCAUACCCACGAUCGAUUGCUACACUGAUAAAACCUAGGGUUUCAGAGUGGUUGCGCGAAAUCAGUUUGGGGGUUAUUCAUUUCUUCACCUUUCAGAUGGGUCCUAAGCGUGCUCGAUCUCGCACCCCUGAAUCAUCAUCAUCAAGCCGUCAAGAUGAGGACAUACGUAAUGUUUUAGUGAUAUAAAGGCAUAAGAAUACAUUACAAAC